GAGGCUCAGUGGGGUGUUCUUUUUGGUUCUAGAAUUCAAGAUCAUGGAAAACUGCCAGAAGGAAAUGGGUCUUCUCCUCUCCCAAAUGGUCCCAUAACUAGUCUGGCCACCUUGAGCCAUCCAAGAGGAGAAUGUGGUCAGGGACCGUGACUCAGCUUAAGAAGCUACAUUUAUAUCUAUAUCUACACACAUGUUCUACCGACUAUGACCACACCACCAUGGCCCAUGCCCAUACACCCACGUGUGAACCAAGAGGCAGGUAAUGUGCCGAUGACGACGUCUACAAGGUUUGAGGGAGGCACCUCUCAAAACCGAAUCAUCAUGCUUGCAAACUACAAAAGACUCUUUCUUGGCACAAAGAGACAAAGACCAGAACAGAGAGUCCUGCAGAGCAACUUGACUUGGAAGGAACAGAAGACUUCAGUCCAGGGGCACAGUAAGCUGGAGGCAACCUUGCAGGGAGAGACCCAGGCAGAGCUGGAUUUGUAGUGACGCUGGCGAAGUUUAAGCUUCAGGAUCCCACGCUUGCACAGGUGACUUCCAAAGCCGGGAGGAGUUCUAGCGAUGUAUUCAUAUGUCACACAUUUUGUAAAUUUUGCAAAAGUAAGAUAGUUUCAUCCCAGUUUCCCUCCACUAUACAUAUCUCAUGGUUGGGUGGCUUUGGAGUCGUUGCGGGCAUUUUUAGGAUCUGGUUAAGGGGGAGAUGGGUUUUGGUUUGGUUGGGUAUAUGUAAGUUGCUCACAGCCACUUUUUUUUUUCUUUAGGAUGGAGUCUCACUCUGUCACCCAGGCUGGAGUGCAAUGGUGCAAUCUCAGCUCACUGCAACCUCCGCCUCCCGGGUUCAAGUGAUUCUCUUGCCUCAGCCUCCCGAGUAGCUGGGAUUACAGGUGUGCACCACCAUAGCCAGCUAAUUCUUGUAUUUUUAGUAGAGAUGAGGUUUUACCAUGUUGUCCAGGCUGGUCUCGAUCUCCUGACUUCAAGUGAUCCGCCCACCUCGGCCUCCCAAAGUGUUGGGAUUAUAGGCAUGAGCCACUGCACCCAGCCCACAGUCACUUCUGAAUAUACUUAAUUCAUCACUAGCUGUCCUGAUGUCAAAAUGGCUUUCAGGAAUACUCUCACCUCCAACUCACCUGGUGUCAUGACUUGAAGGUGAUGACAGGUCAUAUUGCAAUAUGUAUGUGGUUAGUGGAAGAGAACAGAGGUUUGUAAGGUAUGGAACCAGAAGAUAGCCUAUGGCAAAUUCUUCCCAUCAUCAGACGUACAAUUUUAAGUGGAGAAUUCAGUUCUCUUGGUCAGAAACAUAAUGUAGUACAUGCAACUCUAAAUACACCAUACUAUUUUCUCUUAAAAUGGAAUCUCACCCUUCAGAAAUUCUUAAACAUCUGUGUUUGUAGCCUAUAAGCAUAAUAACAUUUCAGAUCGUACCAAAAGUAGUAAUUUUUUAAGAAGAAGAAAGAAAAGGCAGGUAGAAAUAAAGGCCCUUGGACCAGCUGGUAAUCUUAUUGUUAAAGGAAAGUAAAACAUAUUAACUCACUGGGAAAAGCUUUACAUUUCUUGCUACUUUGAUAAAAAAUGCUGACAUCUUUGAAGCUGUCUUAGAUUGGGUUCCCUGGAGGCUGACCAUGAAAUGGAAAGUUGUGGGCCGGAGGCUUACCGUGGAGUGCUCUCAGGAGACAUAUGUGUGAGGAAAUGAGGAUGGCAGGAUUGGGAGAAGCUGAUCAGAAAUAUGGCCUCAGCCAAUCUGAUAUCCCCAGCAGCUGAAGGAUGGCUGUGUUGGCCUGAAGAGGGGAUCUGUGCGGUGGCCACAGCUCCCUCCACAGAUGAUAACGUAGGUCUCAUGAUACAUCACUACAAUGGGGACACCAAAGACAAACUGACUUCUCAUGUACAUCACUGCAAUGGGGACACCAAAGACAAAUGGACUUCUCAUGAUACAUCACUACAAUGGGGACACCAAAGACAAACUGACUUAUAAGUGUCAU
rnacentral:lncRNA from 10 species